AACGAACGCUGGCGGCAUGCCUAACACAUGCAAGUCGAACGAAGGCUUCGGCCUUAGUGGCGCACGGGUGCGUAACGCGUGGGAAUCUGCCCCUUGGUUCGGAAUAACUCAGAGAAAUUUGAGCUAAUACCGGAUGACGACGUAAGUCCAAAGAUUUAUCGCCGAGGGAUGAGCCCGCGUAGGAUUAGCUAGUUGGUGGGGUAAAGGCCUACCAAGGCGACGAUCCUUAGCUGGUCUGAGAGGAUGAUCAGCCACACUGGGACUGAGACACGGCCCAGACUCCUACGGGAGGCAGCAGUGGGGAAUAUUGGACAAUGGGCGAAAGCCUGAUCCAGCAAUGCCGCGUGAGUGAUGAAGGCCUUAGGGUUGUAAAGCUCUUUUACCCGGGAUGAUAAUGACAGUACCGGGAGAAUAAGCUCCGGCUAACUCCGUGCCAGCCGCCGCGGUAACAC
rnacentral:rRNA from 1 species